rnacentral:rRNA from 1 species
GAUGAACGCUGGCGGCGUGCCUAAUACAUGCAAGUCGAGCGAACGGACGAGAAGCUUGCUUCUCUGAUGUUAGCGGCGGACGGGUGAGUAACACGUGGAUAACCUACCUAUAAGACUGGGAUAACUUCGGGAAACCGUAGCUAAUACCGGAUAAUAUUUUGAACCGCAUGGUUCAAAAGUGAAAGACGGUCUUGCUGUCACUUAUAGAUGGAUCCGCGCUGCAUUAGCUAGUUGGUAAGGUAACGGCUUACCAAGGCAACGAUGCAUAGCCGACCUGAGAGGGGGUACGGCCACACUGGAACUGAGACGCGGUCCAGACUCCUACGGGAGGCAGCAGUAGGGAAUCGUCCGCAAUGGGCGAAAGCCUGACGGAGCAACGCCGCGUGAGUGAUGAAGGUCUUCGGAUCGGAAAACUCUGUUAUUAGGGAAGAACAUAUGUGUAAGUAACUGUGCACAUCUUGACGGUACCUAAUCAGAAAGCCACGGCUAACUACGUG